UACAGAGGUCUCAAGCGUUGUUCGGAUUCAUUGGGCGUAAAGGGUGCGUAGGCGGCGCGGUAAGUCGGGUGUGAAAUUUCGGAGCUUAACUCCGAAACUGCAUUCGAUACUGCUGUGCUUGAGGACUGGAGAGGAGACUGGAAUUUACGGUGUAGCGGUGAAAUGCGUAGAGAUGUGGAGGAAUACCGAUGGCGAAGGCAGCCCCCUGGGCCAAGAUUGACGCUCAUGCACGAAAGCGUGGGGAGCAAACAGG
rnacentral:rRNA from 1 species